AAACUUUCAACAACGGAUCUCUUGGUUCUGGCAUCGAUGAAGAACGCAGCGAAAUGCGAUAAGUAAUGUGAAUUGCAGAAUUCAGUGAAUCAUCGAAUCUUUGAACGCACAUUGCGCCCGCUAGUAUUCUAGCGGGCAUGCCUGUCCGAGCGUCAUUU
rnacentral:rRNA from 3 species